rnacentral:miRNA from 1 species
UGAAGAGAAGAGCGUUGUUUGG